rnacentral:rRNA from 1 species
UACGAAGGGGGCUAGCGUUGCUCGGAAUCACUGGGCGUAAAGCGCACGUAGGCGGCUUUUUAAGUCAGGGGUGAAAUCCUGGAGCUCAACUCCAGAACUGCCUUUGAUACUGAGAAGCUUGAGUCCGGGAGAGGUGAGUGGAACUGCGAGUGUAGAGGUGAAAUUCGUAGAUAUUCGCAAGAACACCAGUGGCGAAGGCAGCUCACUGGCCCGGUACUGACGCUGAGGUGCGAAAGCGUGGGGAGCAAACAGG